rnacentral:tRNA from 1 species
CAGAUAUUAAUUUAUUUAAAAUUUUAAUUUUGGAGAUUAAAAAAAAGAUUUUUUUCUUAUAUCUGA